rnacentral:RNase_P_RNA from 1 species
AAUUCAAUCCGGGCAAUUGCUCUCCGGUUUGCCGGUGGGAGGAAAGUCCGAACUUCACAGAACAAGGUGCCGGGUAACACCCGGGCGUAAAUGGAGCAAUCUAUUUUCGACUGAAAGUGCAACAGAAAAUAAACUACCUUGAAGUAAUUCAGGGAAAAGGUGAAAAGGCGAGGUAAAAGCUCACCGGCUUAACAGUAAUGUUAAGUGCUUUGCAAACCACACCUGAAGCAAGGUCAAGUAAAAAAAUCUUCCCGAUUCAUCGGGACAAAGUUGUUCGCUUUGAACUAAUGCUUAAUUGCUGGUUGGAUUUUUGGGUGGACCGCUAAACUUUAUCGGUAACGGUAAAGUAAGAUAAAUAAUUGCCGCUCCGACUAAUUGUCGGGGUUACAAAAUUCGGCUUACAGGAUUGUUUUAUUU